UACGUAGGGUGCAAGCGUUAAUCGGAAUUACUGGGCGUAAAGCGUGCGCAGGCGGUUGUGCAAGACCGAUGUGAAAUCCCCGGGCUCAACCUGGGAAUGGCAUUGGUGACUGUACGGCUAGAGUGUGUCAGGAGGGGGGUAGAAUUCCACGUGUAGCAGUGAAAUGCGUAGAUAUGUGGAGGAACACCGAUGGCGAAGGCAGCCCCCUGGGAUAACACUGACGCCUCAUGCACGAAAGCGUGGGGAGCAAACAGG
rnacentral:rRNA from 1 species